rnacentral:rRNA from 1 species
GCGAACGCUGGCGGCGUGCUUCACACAUGCAAGUCGAACGGAAAGGCCCUGCUUUUGUGGGGUGCUCGAGUGGCGAACGGGUGAGUAACACGUGAGUAACCUGCCCUUGACUUUGGGAUAACUUCAGGAAACUGGGGCUAAUACCGGAUAGGAGCUCCUGCUGCAUGGUGGGGGUUGGAAAGUUUCGGCGGUUGGGGAUGGACUCGCGGCUUAUCAGCUUGUUGGUGGGGUAGUGGCUUACCAAGGCUUUGACGGGUAGCCGGCCUGAGAGGGUGACCGGCCACAUUGGGACUGAGAUACGGCCCAGACUCCUACGGGAGGCAGCAGUGGGGAAUAUUGCACAAUGGGCGGAAGCCUGAUGCAGCAACGCCGCGUGCGGGAUGACGGCCUUCGGGUUGUAAACCGCUUUCGCCUGUGACGAAGCGUGAGUGACGGUAAUGGGUAAAGAAGCACCGGCUAACUACGUG